rnacentral:piRNA from 1 species
UAAACUCUUUGGUUUGGACAAGGCAGC